rnacentral:rRNA from 1 species
AAUGAACGUUGGCGGCGUGGAUUAGGCAUGCAAGUCGAGCGAGAACCCCGCAAGGGGGGACAGCGGCGAAAGGGACAGUAAUGUGUAGAUUAUCUGCCCUCAGGUCCGGGAUAGCUGCGGGAAACUGCAGGUAAUACCGGAUAACAUCUCCGGAUCAAAGGUGUGAUUCCGCCUGAGGAUGAGUCUGCAUCCUAUUAGCUAGUUGGUGGGGUAAUGGCCUACCAAGGCAUUGAUGGGUAGCAGGUGUGAGAGCACGACCUGCGUCAUUGGGACUGAGACACUGCCCAGACACCUACGGGUGGCUGCAGUCGAGAAUCUUCGGCAAUGGGCGCAAGCCUGACCGAGCGGCGCCGCGUGUGGGAUGAAGGCCUUCGGGUUGUAAACCACUGUCAGAGGGGAUGAAAUGCAGGUGGGUUCUCCCAUCUGUUUGACAUAGCCUCAGAGGAAGGACGGGCUAAGUUCGUG